UUGAUAAUAUAGUUUAUACUAUCAUUAAUUAUGUGCACUGUUACCCCGCCGCCAAUUGGCGGCCGUAAGGUCGUCAAUUGGCCCCAAUUAAAAUAUUUAUUAAUAACUUUUUAUACCAGUAAUCAUAUAACUUAUGA
rnacentral:misc_RNA from 1 species